rnacentral:lncRNA from 1 species
GUCUCUAGAGAAUGGAAUGAAAAAGGGGAAAAAAUCAGAGAGAUACAUACACAAUAUAACAAGUUGCUUUAUUCAAGUGGUCGAUGCAGCACGUAUAGCUUGACAGAUGUCAAGACAAAGUAAACCUAUAGCUGACCAAGUGGAAGAACGUGGUAUCCCGCGUGUUACAUUUAAAUGAUUGAUGAGGAUUCUCGAUGUGGAUCGCAGCUGGAUUGCGGGCUGCAUCUUCUGGAAGAGUUGGAAUGAACGUGAGAAGACUUUUUUAAGCUGAACCAUUCUGUUGAAUCCGUAAUUUGGAUAUCUGUGCAUCGGCAGUCGGAAUGCCAGGAUUCCUAAAUUGCAGUGUGAAUAUAGAGAUUCUUUAGAAAUAGUCGACCAGCCUUGGGUUUCAUCCGCGCUUUCAUUUUCAAUCCUACCGACGUAUUUUGGCUCAGUAUAUCAAUCCAACAUCACCUCUGUCAUGUGUUGCUCCAAGACUUGUUGGAAAUCUGGGAAUAGGCAUGGCUGCCGUAGGGAUUAUUUGCCGACAAAGCAGUUUCUUUCUGUACUCAUCCCUUCGAGAAAUAACCAGUGGUGGAAUUUUAGCUCACAGCAAGAAACAUUUUAAGAAAUCCAUUGGAAUAUGUGGCAAGUUGUCAUCCGUUGAAUAAUCCAAGAGAUCUAGUAUUCUUAACUUGAGUCAAGAUCGGUAAAUUUUUGAAAUUAAUAUCUUUGCUAACACAUUUCAAACACUCUUGAAACUUACAUCAAACUCAAGCGAGCAAAGUACACAUAUUUAAAGUUCCAGGGAGAGAAUUUCAUCUUGGAGAAUCUGUCAAAGCCCACGACUGUGAGCUAGUGGAACAAAAACAUAAGAUUUUUGCCAUAAAUCAACGCUAUUUACGAAAUCAUCUGAAUUUACUGAGCAAAGGCUUGCGUAGGAAGAGCAAAAAAUAGAUGAAAGAGACCAAAGAAGAUGAUGAAGAAGAAAAGUGAUGUGGAUGACACAGGAAUAAGGGAUUCUCUUGGCCUCAGGAAAAAAGUAGUAUGUUUUGGGCUGUGGGCCACAAUUUGAACUGAAGCAAUAUUUUACGAAUUCAGUGAGUUAUGGCAAAGCGAGGGCUGACGCAAAAUGAUUUAGGUUUAAUAACGAUGGACCGUACAAGCCAGGUCAGUUGGGCAUUAUGUUGGAAGCAGUGUUGGCUGGUGCCUCUUGAUGUUUAAAGACGGUUCAGUCGAGUAGAGUUGAAGAAAUCUUCAAAUGCUCAAGAGUGAAAGAGUCAGAGUAAAAUAUACCGAUAGGAAUAAUGAGAUAAUCGGUCAGAUGAUUAUAUUUUUUGUUGAUUAAAAUUAAUUUAAAUUAUACUCAUAUAGGUAAAGAGCAUAACAUUUUUUGUGAAACCCUUAUUAUACAUAAUAUGCAUGUUUUGCAGACAUUUUUUAUUAUAUUCCACUGUCGUGUAUAGUCCAUUACCAUUGCAUGGAUCCCCACUGACAUUUUCAGGUAGUUUCAAAUCCUGUGAAACCGGCUUACUGGUAACUAGUGACAAUUUUGUGUUGCACCGUAUAAAAACGCUGCGGGUAAUCAAAAGCUCGUUAACAUGAUUUAUUAAUCCCAAUCGAGUUUGCUUGCGUGCAGUUAGAAAAAGUAACUCAAGUAAUUAUUUAUAAGAGUCACCGUGUAUGCUCUAUGGUUGAUAUAAUAGUAGUUGGAUUCGUAGUAUAAAGCUUUAUUUUUGUAAUCCUCUGACGACGAAUAUGAAAUUUUACCGUCAAUUAAAUGUGCCAUACGUUGAAUUGUCACUAUACGUUCGUUUUAAUUUCAAAUGUGCAAUUCGCGAUUAUUAAAUUUUUUUUCGCACUCCUGAAGGCAUAUCAGUGGAAAAUUUGGCAUUGAUCCACUGUUAUAUGCAAAGUAAAGGGAUAUGCAUGGACCAAUAUAUAAUAUCAAAGUGAGCUGAACUUUAAACAAAAAAAUUGUGUAUCAAUAUGAGUGCACUGGCUUUUGUCACAUCAAUACAUGUCUGUUAUA